rnacentral:rRNA from 1 species
GCCUGAUGCAGCGACGCCGCGUGAGGGAUGACGGCCUUCGGGUUGUAAACCUCUUUCGCCAGGGACGAAGCGCAGGUGACGGUACCUGGAGAAGAAGGACCGGCCAACUACGUGCCAGCAGCCGCGGUAAUACGUAGGGUCCGAGCGUUGUCCGGAAUUACUGGGCGUAAAGAGCUCGUAGGUGGUUUGUCGCGUUGUUCGUGAAAACUCACAGCUCAACUGUGGGCGUGCGGGCGAUACGGGCAGACUGGAGUACUGCAGGGGAGACUGGAAUUCCUGGUGUAGCGGUGGAAUGCGCAGAUAUCAGGAGGAACACCGGUGGCGAAGGCGGGUCUCUGGGCAGUAACUGACGCUGAGGAGCGAAAGCGUGGGGAGCGAACAGGAUUAGAUACCCUGGUAGUCCACGCCGUAAACGGUGGGUACUAGGUGUGGGUUUCCUUCCUUGGGAUCCGUGCCGUAGCUAACGCAUUAAGUACCCCGCCUGGGGAGUACGGCCGCAAGGCUAAAACUCAAAGAAAUUGACGGGGGCCCGCACAAGCGGCGGAGCAUGUGGAUUAAUUCGAUGCAACGCGAAGAACCUUACCUGGGUUUGACAUGCACAGGACGUGCCUAGAGAUAGGUAUUCCCUUGUGGCCUG